rnacentral:tRNA from 1 species
GCGGGGGUGUCCGAGCCUGGUCAAAGGAGGCAGGCUUAGGAAGUCGAAAACGCCUUAGGAGACCUGCUGGCGUAGGCCUGCGUGGGUUCAAACCCCACCCCCCGCA